AUGAACGCUGGCGGCGUGCCUAAUACAUGCAAGUCGAGCGAACAGACGAGGAGCUUGCUCCUCUGACGUUAGCGGCGGACGGGUGAGUAACACGUGGAUAACCUACCUAUAAGACUGGGAUAACUUCGGGAAACCGGAGCUAAUACCGGAUAAUAUAUUGAACCGCAUGGUUCAAUAGUGAAAGACGGUUUUGCUGUCACUUAUAGAUGGAUCCGCGCCGCAUUAGCUAGUUGGUAAGGUAACGGCUUACCAAGGCAACGAUGCGUAGCCGACCUGAGAGGGUGACCGGCAACACUGGAACUGAGACACGGUCCAGACCCCAACGGGAGGCAGCAGUGGGGAAUCUUCCGCAAUGGGCGAAAGCCUGACGGAGCAACGCCGCGUGAGUGAUGAAGGUCUUCGGAUCGUAAAACUCUGUUAUUAGGGAAGAACAAAUGUGUAAGUAACUAUGCACGUCUUGACGGUACCUAAUCAGAAAGCCACGGCUAACUACGU
rnacentral:rRNA from 1 species